rnacentral:rRNA from 1 species
UACGGAGGAGGCAAGCGUUAUCCGGAAUUAUUGGGCGUAAAGCGUCCGCAGGUGGCUAUUCAAGUCUGCGGUCAAAGACCGGGGCUUAACUUCGGAAAGGCAGUGGAAACUGAACAGCUAGAGUAUGGUAGGGGCAGAGGGAAUUCCUGGUGUAGCGGUGAAAUGCGCAGAUAUCAGGAGGAACACCGAUGGCGAAGGCAGCUCGCUGGGACGGUAUUGACGCUGAGACGCGAAAGCGUGGGGAGCAAACAGG